GACCUGGUGGUGAAAUGCAUCACACCCACCCUAGUUGAAGUAGAUUGAUAUCGUUCAUUUGUGGGAGGCUCCCAGUUCUAAUCUGGGCCAGGUCA